rnacentral:ncRNA from 1 species
GUCACAGGUGGUGCGGCCCUGGUCACCAGAGCAGCACCGAAUGCGCAGUACCUAAACGAAGACGGUAAAAAG